UAGUCCACGCCGUAAACGAUGUUUGCUAGUUGUCGGGCCUUACGGGUUCGGUGACGGAGAGAAAUCAUUAAGCAAACCGCCUGGGGAGUACGGCCGCAAGGUUAAAACUCAAAGGAAUUGACGGGGACCCGCACAAGCGGUGGAGCAUGUUGUUUAAUUCGAAGCAACGCGAAGAACCUUACCCACACUUGACAUCCUCCUUGGGACUUUCAGAGAUGAUUGUCUUCGGUUCGGCCGGGGGAGUGACAGGUGCUGCAUGGCUGUCGUCAGCUCGUGUCGUGAGAUGUUGGGUUAAGUCCCGCAACGAGCGCAACCCUUAUCGUCUGUUGCCAUCAUUCAGUUGGGCACUCUGACGAGACUGCCGGUGAUAAGCCGGGAGGAAGGCGGGGACGACGUCAAGUCAUCAUGGCCCUUACGUGUGGGGGCUACAAACGUGCUACAAUGGUAGUGACAGUGGGCAGCCACUCCGC
rnacentral:rRNA from 1 species